CUACUUGGCCGCCCACGUUAACGUAAUUCGCUCGCUCGCGCAUUCCACGCGUGCCUGUCGCGUCGGCGUCAAGGCAAGGCUGGCCCUCCAGAUGUCGUUUCCCUCCCGCGCGUAGGCGAGCCGCUCCGACUCCUUUGCACCUGAUUGACUUUAUAGCUGUCCUCCCCGCGGAGAAGAAAGAGAACGGGCGUGGAUACAUCGUAAACCCCUCUAAAAAGAAGACAAUGGAACGAGCCCUUACGCGAGUGCAGAGUCGAGGAUGAUUUGACAAACUCUCGACCAGAGGGAUGCAGAACGAGACCUUACGCGAGGAUUGUUCGACAAAAGCUAGAAGAUGAAUGACACAAACGGAUGUUCGAGGGUGCACGAAGGCCCAUUUCUCGAUCCCGACGACGCCCCUGUCGACGCUUCCGGUAUCCGGUUCCGGUAGCGAUUUUUAUGCGAGCAUUCGCGAAGGGGAAGAACAGAGACGAGCGAUGAUUCCACAGAAUCUGAAAAGUCAGUCGAGCGUAAACGGCGGAGCACACACAAAGAGGGUUGGCCUUGAUGCCACGAGAAAGGGAAGAAAAACAGUUAUUGUGCGUGGAAGAAGGGCUGGAAAGAGGAACCGCCGAAACGAUACGUCGUCGCAUCCGCCCGCUCGAGCAAACCAAGAAUCACAGAGUGUCAUUUGUCAGCGAAAGCGCACGUAAUGUUCGCAUGGGAUUUCGCCGGAAACUCGU